rnacentral:rRNA from 1 species
GGUUAAGCGACUAAGCGUACACGGUGGAUGCCCUGGCAGUCAGAGGCGAUGAAGGACGUGCUAAUCUGCGAUAAGCGUCGGUAAGGUGAUAUGAACCGUUAUAACCGGCGAUUUCCGAAUGGGGAAACCCAGUGUGUUUCGACACACUAUCAUUAACUGAAUCCAUAGGUUAAUGAGGCGAACCGGGGGAACUGAAACAUCUAAGUACCCCGAGGAAAAGAAAUCAACCGAGAUUCCCCCAGUAGCGGCGAGCGAACGGGGAGCAGCCCAGAGCCUGAAUCAGUGUGUGUGUUAGUGGAAGCGUCUGGAAAGGCGCGCGAUACAGGGUGACAGCCCCGUACACAAAAAUGCACAUUCUGUGAGCUCGAUGAGUAGGGCGGGACACGUGGUAUCCUGUCUGAAUAUGGGGGGACCAUCCUCCAAGGCUAAAUACUCCUGACUGACCGAUAGUGAACCAGUACCGUGAGGGAAAGGCGAAAAGAACCCCGGCGAGGGGAGUGAAAAAGAACCUGAAACCGUGUACGUACAAGCAGUGGGAGCACAGAGCAAUCUGUGUGACUGCGUACCUUUUGUAUAAUGGGUCAGCGACUUAUAUUCUGUAGCAAGGUUAACCGAAUAGGGGAGCCGAAGGGAAACCGAGUCUUAACUGGGCGUUAAGUUGCAGGGUAUAGACCCGAAACCCGGUGAUCUAGCCAUGGGCAGGUUGAAGGUUGGGUAACACUAACUGGAGGACCGAACCGACUAAUGUUGAAAAAUUAGCGGAUGACUUGUGGCUGGGGGUGAAAGGCCAAUCAAACCGGGAGAUAGCUGGUUCUCCCCGAAAGCUAUUUAGGUAGCGCCUCGUGAAUUCAUCUCCGGGGGUAGAGCACUGUUUCGGCAAGGGGGUCAUCCCGACUUACCAACCCGAUGCAAACUGCGAAUACCGGAGAAUGUUAUCACGGGAGACACACGGCGGGUGCUAACGUCCGUCGUGAAGAGGGAAACAACCCAGACCGCCAGCUAAGGUCCCAAAGUCAUGGUUAAGUGGGAAACGAUGUGGGAAGGCCCAGACAGCCAGGAUGUUGGCUUAGAAGCAGCCAUCAUUUAAAGAAAGCGUAAUAGCUCACUGGUCGAGUCGGCCUGCGCGGAAGAUGUAACGGGGCUAAACCAUGCACCGAAGCUGCGGCAGCGACGCUUAUGCGUUGUUGGGUAGGGGAGCGUUCUGUAAGCCUGUGAAGGUGUGCUGUGAGGCAUGCUGGAGGUAUCAGAAGUGCGAAUGCUGACAUAAGUAACGAUAAAGCGGGUGAAAAGCCCGCUCGCCGGAAGACCAAGGGUUCCUGUCCAACGUUAAUCGGGGCAGGGUGAGUCGACCCCUAAGGCGAGGCCGAAAGGCGUAGUCGAUGGGAAACAGGUUAAUAUUCCUGUACUUGGUGUUACUGCGAAGGGGGGACGGAGAAGGCUAUGUUGGCCGGGCGACGGUUGUCCCGGUUUAAGCGUGUAGGCUGGUUUUCCAGGCAAAUCCGGAAAAUCAAGGCUGAGGCGUGAUGACGAGGCACUACGGUGCUGAAGCAACAAAUGCCCUGCUUCCAGGAAAAGCCUCUAAGCAUCAGGUAACAUCAAAUCGUACCCCAAACCGACACAGGUGGUCAGGUAGAGAAUACCAAGGCGCUUGAGAGAACUCGGGUGAAGGAACUAGGCAAAAUGGUGCCGUAACUUCGGGAGAAGGCACGCUGAUAUGUAGGUGAAGUCCCUCGCGGAUGGAGCUGAAAUCAGUCGAAGAUACCAGCUGGCUGCAACUGUUUAUUAAAAACACAGCACUGUGCAAACACGAAAGUGGACGUAUACGGUGUGACGCCUGCCCGGUGCCGGAAGGUUAAUUGAUGGGGUUAGCGGUAACGCGAAGCUCUUGAUCGAAGCCCCGGUAAACGGCGGCCGUAACUAUAACGGUCCUAAGGUAGCGAAAUUCCUUGUCGGGUAAGUUCCGACCUGCACGAAUGGCGUAAUGAUGGCCAGGCUGUCUCCACCCGAGACUCAGUGAAAUUGAACUCGCUGUGAAGAUGCAGUGUACCCGCGGCAAGACGGAAAGACCCCGUGAACCUUUACUAUAGCUUGACACUGAACAUUGAGCCUUGAUG